rnacentral:rRNA from 1 species
CCUACGGGGGGCUGCAGUGGGGAAUAUUGCACGAUGGGCGCAAGCCUGAUGCAGCCAUGCCGCGUGUGUGAAGAAGGCCUUCGGGUUGUAAAGCACUUUCAGCGGGGAGGAAGGCGUUAAGGUUAAUAACCUUGGCGAUUGACGUUACCCGCAGAAGAAGCACCGGCUAACUCCGUGCCAGCAGCCGCGGUAAUACGGAGGGUGCAAGCGUUAAUCGGAAUUACUGGGCGUAAAGCGCACGCAGGCGGUCUGUCAAGUCGGAUGUGAAAUCCCCGGGCUCAACCUGGGAACUGCAUUCGAAACUGGCAGGCUAGAGUCUUGUAGAGGGGGGUAGAAUUCCAGGUGUAGCGGUGAAAUGCGUAGAGAUCUGGAGGAAUACCGGUGGCGAAGGCGGCCCCCUGGACAAAGACUGACGCUCAGGUGCGAAAGCGUGGGGAGCAAACAGGAUUAGAUACCCUUGUAGUC